rnacentral:tRNA from 1 species
GCCGGAAUGGUGAAACUGGUAGACGCAGCGGACUCAAAAUCCGCCGGGGGCAACCCCUUGGGAGUUCGAUUCUCCCUUCCGGCACCA